AGUAAGCGGCGGACGGGUGAGUAAUGUCUGGGAAACUGCCUGAUGGAGGGGGAUAACUCCUGGAAACGGUAGCUAAUACCGCAUACCAUCAGAUGUGCCCAGAUGGGAGUAUCUAGUAGGUGGGGUAACGGCUCACCUAGGCGACGCUCCCUAGCUGGUCUGAGAGGAUGACCAGCCAAUCUGGAACUUAGAGACGGUCCAGACUCCUACGGUAGGCAGCAGUGGGGAAUAUGGCUCAAGUGGCGCAAUCUUUAGUCAGCCAUGCCGCGUGUGUGAAGAAGGCCUUCGGGUUGUAAAGCACUUUCAGCGGGGAGGCGUUACCCGCAGAAGAAGCACCGGCUAACUCCGUGCCAGCAGCCGCGGUAAUAC
rnacentral:rRNA from 1 species